UCUUUAAUCUAUGGAAUCAGAUUUUGAAUGAAAAUGUACACCUGACACGGAGGUGCAAUUGGAUUGUGAAUAAAAAUUUGUGAUUGACCUGACCAUCCAAGGGAUGAACUUACCCCACCACCGACCAACUCAUCCAGAUACGGCGAGCUACAUAAUGCAAUUCAACAAAAUACAUGGGUAGCCUAUCAGUUUAAAUUUUGACACAAUUAUUUAGUGGUAACAAGGCAAAAAGAAAAAAAAAUUAAUCUUUGCUUCUUUGCCCGCACACUACUACUAGACCCUCGGAUAUAUGAUUUACAGCAUCGGAGACAAGGAUUAUUUUAUGUUAUGGAUAUUAUUAUCAAAUAUUAUUAUCAAAAAGUGUACAUUUGAUGUGACAAGAGCGUACGAGCAUAACCGUGUGCAUAAAUUGUAUCUGAAAACGGAUGUAGUCAAAACUCCAGAAAAAAUGGUGCAAGUAUGCAUUUGGCUAACGGAAUAAGACACUAAGCUAGAUUGUUUAUACUUUAAACAGUUCGUGCAAACUGUGCCAAGACGAUUUUAAAUGACAGGGUGUGUAUUGACCAUGCAGGCAAACCAGCCAGCGACUCGACAUGUUAUGAUCCCACCAAUAUUUACAUCAAAUUUGCGCGUUACAAGUACAACGUCGACCCUACCACACUCCUCCACUGCCACUCCAAGCGCAUCCAUAAAUAUCUCCAAAACGAUUUGGCCACCCAUAACUUCAUCGCCUCCUGCCAUUAUUUCAACACUUGACUUCCGGCCACACUACAAACUGCACUAACCACUGUCGAUCGAUCAGAAACCAGUGCACCUUCUUUGAUCCAAAGCGUUAAAUUUUCAUUGUAGAAUAAAUAAUGGCAUGUUCAAAUUUAAUCUUUUAUGCCGAUUGUUCACUGUUUAUUAAAAUGCACCUAUAAGUAUACUAGUGUGGAUGAAAUAAAAGGUGUGCUCGAAUCUAUCGUCUUGUUUGUGUCUAAGCACAACAGAAAAGAUGGGGUCAACUUGUUUACCGAUAACAAUUUGAACCUGUGGAAAGAAGUGGGUUCUCGGUCAACGUCCCCUUUCAUCACAAGUUUAUCUGCAGUCGUCCAAUAAUCUGGUCACAAAAUGUGCACGUUGGUCGCAAGUGCUACAAGAAAAGUUAAUUCAAAAUUUCUGCAGUCUAUUUCAUUCCUGGUGUACCGCUUGCUUGCCGUAUGCUCAACACUGUUCCUGGGCGAUGACAACGACUACAACACCACACAUUUUCCGGAAAAACGUCCGUCCAGUUGACUUUGGAGGAGUAGGCUUCCUGGUAAUUCGCCAUUGUUGGAAAUUACACGCUACGUGUCGCAAGUUGUUGUCCAUCGGAAAAUCGAGAUUAGUUCAGGACAACUGAUUAGUGACUAGGCGAAAGUUCUUCCCUAGAUGAGGAAUAUCUUUAUGUUCCGUGUCCUGGACAAGAGAUGGUACAAAACCAUUUGGGAUUCCUGGAUGGCAGGGGUGGGUUUGGAACUCGCAGGAAAUUUGAGUUAUUGGACAUUCUGGUUCUGAGCCUGACUUUGGGAUUUAUCAUCCGAGACGACACCAAAAGCGUGAGGAUCAAGGCGCCCUGGAUAUUUUUUGGGUAGCGGUUUAGUGGGAUAAGAGAUGGGGCCCCACUUCGCGACAUGAGGUCCGCCUCAUGAUAUGGAGGAGGAACCGGCGGACGUAUGGUGAGACGGUCGUGACUUCUUGCAUUUUUUCUUCUCUGCAGGAGCAGUAACUGUUUAUCUUUGCGCCUGAGUUUUGCGGAAACUUCUUUCUGUUAUU